UUUGCGAGUCAAUAUGGCUGUCUCAAAGAUUAGCCAUGCAUGUCUAGUAUAGCAUUAUACGUGAAACUGCGAUGGCUCAUUAAAUCAGUUAUUCGUUUAUUUGAUAGUACCUUACUACUUGGGAUAACCCGUGGUAAUUCUAGAGCUAAUACAUGCUAAAAACCCCGACUUCGGGAGGGGUGUAUUUAUUAGAUAAAAAACCAACGCCCUUUCGGGGCUCCUUGGUGAAUCAUAAUAACUUAACGGAUCGCAUGGCCUUGCGCCGGCGACGGUUCAUUCAAAUUUCUGCCCUAUCAACUUUCGAUUGUAGGGUAUUGGCCUACAAUGGUAUCAACGGGUAACGGGGAAUUAGGGUUCGAUUCCGGAGAGGGAGCCUGAGAAACGGCUACCACAUCCAAGGAAGGCAGCAGGCGCGCAAAUUACCCAAUCCCGACACGGGGAGGUAGUGACAAUAAAUACUGAUACAGGGCUCUUUUGGGUCUUGUAAUUGGAAUGAGUACAAUUUAAAUCCCUUAACGAGGAACAAUUGGAGGGCAAGUCUGGUGCCAGCAGCCGCGGUAAUUCCAGCUCCAAUAGCGUAUAUUAAAGUUGUUGCAGUUAAAAAGCUCGUAGUUGAACCUUGGGCCUGGCUGGCCGGUCCGCCUCACCGCGUGCACUGGUCCGGCCGGGCCUUUCCUUCUGGAGAGCCGCAUGCCCUUCACUGGGCGUGUCGGGGAACCAGGACUUUUACUUUGAAAAAAUUAGAGUGUUCAAAGCAGGCCUUUGCUCGAAUACAUUAGCAUGGAAUAAUAGAAUAGGACGUGCGGUCCUAUUUUGUUGGUUUCUAGGACCGCCGUAAUGAUUAAUAGGGAUAGUCGGGGGCAUCAGUAUUCAAUUGUCAGAGGUGAAAUUCUUGGAUUUAUUGAAGACUAACUACUGCGAAAGCAUUUGCCAAGGAUGUUUUCAUUAAUCAGUGAACGAAAGUUAGGGGAUCGAAGACGAUCAGAUACCGUCGUAGUCUUAACCGUAAACUAUGCCGACUAGGGAUCGGGCGAUGUUAUUAUUUUGACUCGCUCGGCACCUUACGAGAAAUCAAAGUUUUUGGGUCUGGGGGAGUAGCCCCC
rnacentral:rRNA from 1 species